GUGCCAGCAGCCGCGGUAAUACGUAGGACCCGAGCGUUGUCCGGAUUUACUGGGUAUAAAGGGUGCGUAGGCGGUCUUGUGCGUCAGAGGUGAAAUCUCCGGGCUUAACCCGGAGGGUGCCUUUGAUACGGCAGGACUUGAGUGCGGGAGAGGGUGAUGGAAUUCCUGGUGUAGCGGUGAAAUGCGUAGAUAUCAGGAGGAACACCGGUGGCGAAGGCGGUCACCUGGCCCGUAACUGACGCUGAGGCACGAAAGCGUGGGGAUCAAACAGGAUUAGAUACCCUGGUAGUCC
rnacentral:rRNA from 1 species